CCUACGGGAGGCAGCAGUAGGGAAUUUUCGUCAAUGGGCGCAAGCCUGAACGAGCAAUGCCGCGUGAACGAGGAAGGUCUUCGGAUCGUAAAGUUCUGUUGAAGGGGAAAAAGAGCGGAGAGAGGAAAUGCUUUCUUAUUGAUAUUACCCUUCGAGGAAGUCACGGCUAACUACGUGCCAGCAGCCGCGGUAAUACGUAGGUGGCGAGCGUUAUCCGGAAUGAUUGGGCGUAAAGGGUGCGUAGGCGGGCUGCUAAGUCUGGAGUGAAAGGUACCGGCUCAACCGGUACAGGGUCGGGAAACUGGGGGUGUAGAGGGGAGGGGAGGGCGGGGGAAAUCCAUGUGUAGCGGUAGAAUGGGUAGAUAUA
rnacentral:rRNA from 1 species